UUUUCUCAAUAUUUUACAUGUCACACAGUUUAAUUACCAGCAAAACUCCUAUUCAGUUCCUCUUUUCUGUCAUUUGUUAUUGGGUCAACUCAAAUUCAGUUAAAAGCUAAAGGGAUUUCAGGCCUUUGGCCUCAAAUCAAUACUGUCCUGUGUGUUGAUGAACUCUAUAUGUCUGUAAGCGUGCGCAGACUUCAAUGCUCAGGUCAUCUUGCACAAUAAAUUGCUCGGACAUCGCGCCGAACAAAGCUUCUGACCUUCAGUUAUUGACUUGAGCAACAUUUCUUUAAUAAGCACAAAAUGCAAUGUGUAUGAAAUCAUUCCUGUGUAUAUAAUCUUCAAUACUAUUCAUUUGGGUCAGUAACACUUCUAACAUCCUCAUCAAAAGCUCUCCUUUAUCCUAGAAAUAAAUCCAUUUACUAUCUGUUUCUAAAGCCUACCAUAUAACAGCUUAUUCUAAAAGUCAGAAGAAAAACUCUUCACAAAAGAAAAUCUUCCCUGUUUUCCCCAAAGCAUAUCCUAUAUUCCCACAGUUUCCCUUUAAGUUUUAUAUACAGCAGCGUAUGAACACCAGCAUUUUAUCUUCUAAACCGACUUCAGUUCAUUUUACUCCUUUCUUUAAAAAAUAACAUUUUCUGCCUCAGUUUUACUAUAUCUAAGUUAUCAAAAACCCCAAUAGUUAAAAUCAUACUAAAACCCAUUUCAAAUUAAACAAAUUAAAUCUUAAAUCCCUCUCUUUUUUGACACAUCUCAUGUGGCAAAAAACUCAACAUGCUUCACCCAAGCUUAGGAAAUUAAAAGGGAAAAAAGGUUAGUCAUAUCAUUUCUCAGAACAGCUCAGCAAUUCUCUCCGGUAUUUUGCUCCAGCCCUGAAAACCUGUGUUUAAGGAACAAAAUCAAUUUAAUCAUCAUGUCAAAUCUUCUCAAACUCGUUGCUCCAUCGAACUCUGGAUCCUUGGAAUUUCCUGGAAACAAAACCUGUAGUUUACAUUUCAUACUCAACUCUCCCUUUUUGAUCCC
ensembl:lncRNA